CAGGAAGUAGUUUAAUUAGAAUGUCAGCUUUGGGUGUUGACGGUGGGGGAUCAGUCCUUCCUUCUUGA
ensembl:Mt_tRNA